GAUACACUGUAUCUUUAAAAGCAAGAUAAGAUGCAAGCCAUUCUUCUUGGAAAAAGCAAUGUUUACUGAGACUUGGUAAAUAGCCAUAUAAAAUAGGAGCAGGUGGAAAAAAACAUUUUCAUUUCAGAUCUGGAAAAUGUAAAAAUAUUUAGUAUAGGAAAUGGAAAAGGACCAUUUGAUAGCAAAGCUCACUGUGGCAGGGUCAGAAUGAGGAGUAUGGAGGAAAUAUAAAAGGUAGGAGCUCUGCUGAGGAUUUGGAUGUGUGAGAAAGAGCUCAGACUAUAUCCUGAGGACAAUUGCAACCACUUGAAUUUACACAAGGGAUAUAGGUCUCUCAUAGCUAUGAUACUCCCAGAGUUCAGAUUAGUCCAACCAGUGGCAAAUUUUGAAGUUAAGCUCAAUUUCCUUAUCUAACAUAGUAGUUAGACAAUUUGGGUUGUAUUUGUUCUGUCCCUUCCUUUGCCCCAGUCUCUUUAAAGAUAGUGACAGCAGUUUCUAGAAGUAAGUCUUGUCCUUCAUAUAUGCAAGGCACCAAGCCACAGCACUGAUAGAAAACACCAGAGCCCCUGGUCAGUUCCUCAUGGUCUUCUAACCUGCAUCAUAUCCUAAGUCAUGACUGAUGGCUCUCACCAUCUGUGUCAUUCUUCCGAUGGCAGUGUAUCAAGUCCAAAUACAAUAGAGGCCUCUGUUUACAAAACCCAGUAUCACAGGACCACCAUACCACAUAUGAUAAGCAAGUAUGUGGUAGAAAAAUGGUAGAGAAAGAGACGGGAAUGGUGUGUGCACUAUGAAGAGAGACAGAACUAGAGAAGUAAAAGUCGGUGAGGAUUAGCCUGAUGUCUCCACAAGCAGAAGAGCUUGUCCUGCCCCUCACCUUGGCUAAGUGGGAGAGCUGACCCUUGGAGGCACUUGUACAGGAAAGCUGGUGUUACCAUGGGGCGUGCCAUGUAGAAUGUGUUUCUUGGGUUAUUGACAGCCUACGUGAAGAAACAGUGAAUGGCUACAAAGAAGCAAGAAACCAAAAGUAUCUUCAAGGUUGAGGAAAGUUGUGUCUGCCAUGAAAUAAAAUAGAGUUCCCAAGGAGCAGAAGCAGAGCAGAAGGACAAGGCCCUGCAAAUGAGAUGAAUGAUCCAUCUGGGUUAGUCCAGAUGCACUGUUGGCCUAUGUCUGUCAUGGACCCUCCCUACAAGCCUUUACUUUGGGAGAUGUAUGGUUUCCUGAGGAAGACACUUCAGUGGUAGGUGGUACUACCCCUAAGACAGCGAGGUUGUGGGUGAUGAAUUUCCUUAUGGCUGACAGUGUUCUGGAGCCUCAGCCUUUUUGAGUAGGAAGAACAGCCUGCUGAACAAGAAGUCCCACAAGAAGUUGAACAGGUGUUUCCAUCUCAGAAUCGCUGUCGGUGUGUACCUCUCACAAUGAUGGCCUUCUCACAUCCCUGAGCCCAGAACAGGAGGAGAAGAGAAUAACCAGCCUUCAACAUGUGCCUCCUCUACUGCUUAUCUGAGGUUAUCAUGGCAAAGGUAAGCAGCAGCCCCAGACUGAUGGCUAACAGCAGAGCUGAUGCGACCUCUGCUUCAACAGCAGCCACUACUGCCAUCACUACUACAACAUCCAGAGCUGUAAUUAUGACAAUGGACAUAAUGGAGUAAAAGAUAUAAACCCAGAAAAAAAAAUAGAUAUGCAUCCAUAGAGGAACAGUAACACCAUUGGGCAACAUAUGGGAUAGACUGACCCUCACUGUAUGCAGUAAAGGUGAAUAAAGAGCCACUGUCCACAACCCGUGAGUUAACCUGCUACUGUUCCACACAGCCCCGGGCUUCUGAGUCAUCUUUGGAACAACUGAGCCUUAAUUGGCAAAACUGAUUUGUAAGAUGCUUGGAGUCAAAUAAUCAAGAGUCUAGAGAAGAUCGUUAGGGUA